GAAGGCUUUGCAUGGAUGCUUUCUCCCAUGCCCUGGGUCCCUCUUGUUGGUCUUACACCCUUUGCUCAAAACUGGGGGGUGGGAAAGGGGACAUUCUGUUUUCAUUUCCUCACGUGACCACUAUUUAUUCAUAAGUCUUGUUUACACCUUCCAAACCUGUCUCAAUCCCGCCCCUUCUCUGUCCUCACCGCUACCACCUUCCUCCAGGUACAGCCGCACCUUGCUUCAGACACAUGCUUGCUUUAUUCCAGUCUGCUUUCACUUCUGUGUCCCUGUACCUUAGUCUCUACACUGCAGCCAAAAGGCCUUUCAAAGUAGAGGUCAAGGGGUUUCAACAGUAUUAGUGGUAUACUAAGUCUGAGGUUUGCCAGUAGGGACAUCGGUGUUUGUUUUAUGUUCUAUGACACAGAUUCAAGUAUUCUGGUAUCAAACUAACCUUUUAAAAUGUAAGUGACAGUGUCACUCUUUGUGCUUAGUCUUAGAAUGAAAGCCAAACACCUGCCUUACUUGGCCUCAAAGGCUAGCCUCAUCUGGCGGCUGCUCCUAUCCAACUACCUGCCAGUAUUACACACACCUAUACUCUCAGCACUCAGGAGGUUAUGGAGACCGUACUCUGCUCCCCAUGCUUUCAUGUACACUCCCUGAGUCUAACAGUACCUGGCAGUACCUGACUCAACACUUCUGAAAGGAUGAGUGUGACUCACCU